rnacentral:tRNA from 1 species
GGGGAGUUGCCCGAGUGGCUAAAGGGGGCGGGCUGUAAACCCGCUGGCACUGCCUACGGUGGUUCGAAUCCAUCACUCCCCACCA